rnacentral:lncRNA from 1 species
CUGUCAGUUUCAGUCCGCUGCCGGCAAACAGACUGGAACAACUAGGCAGACCAGGGCCGAAGGGGAAGGGAAAUCCUUGAGCAGUCAGAUCGCAUUGCAGGUGCACCCGCCCCGGGGGCUCGGCGGAAGUUCCGUUCAGCUUUCCUUCCCAACGUUUUUGGGGUGCUGGGGACAGCGCUGCACCAGGAGGCUCUCCUCCCCUUUCUGAUCAAGCGAUCAACUUGGAGGAAAGGCGCCCAACGGCCAGCCCAGCCGCAGCUUCUUCAAACUGCGAAUAAGGGUGGAGAACUCCUGCUGUGCUGUAUUUGGAUGAUGGCGAUGACAGACCACAGAUGGAACACCCAGCGGGAGGUAACUGCCCCAUGGAGGGUGGCAUUCAUCCAUGUACCACCUUCAUGGUCUUUGUCAUAACUGUGUGAGCCUGCCCUUUCCUUUACUUAAUCGUUUCCUUUGAAUUUAUUCAUUUAAAGAUCUGAAACAUAUUUAUUUAACAUGAAAACUUUAUAUCAGAAAUGUAGAUGGUAAGCAAAUACUGCUUACCAUAAUAGAAGGCAACUGGAGAGAUAACAAUGGGGAAAAAAAAGUUAUGCAAUGCUAGCUGGAAACCACCAAGGACUGUACCCUGUACUUC